rnacentral:rRNA from 1 species
GACGAACGCUGGCGGCGUGCUUAACACAUGCCAGUCGAACGGGUCUGCCCUGUUUUUUGCGGGGUGGGUCAGUGGCGAACGGGUGAGUAACACGUGAGUAACCUGCCCCUCACUUCUGGAUAACCGCUUGAAAGGGUGGCUAAUACGGGGUGUUCUGGCUGUGCCGCAUGGUGUGGCUGGGAAAGAUUCACUUUUGUGGUGUUUUGGUGGGGGAUGGGCUCGCGGCCUAUCAGCUUGUUGGUGGGGUGAUGGCCUGCCAAGGCUUUGACGGGUAGCCGGCCUGAGAGGGUGGGCGGUCACACUGGGACUGAGAUACGGCCCAGACUCCUGCGGGAGGCAGCAGUGGGGGGUAUUGCACAAUGGGCGGAAGCCUGAUGCAGCGACGUCGCGUGAGGGAUGGAGGCCUGCGGGUUGUGAACCUCUUUCGCCGGUGAAGAAGGUCCUGCUCUUUGUGGUGGGGUUGACGGUAGCCGGGUUAUGAAGCGCCGGCUAACUACGUG